rnacentral:rRNA from 1 species
AUUGAACGCUGGCGGCAGGCCUAACACAUGCAAGUCGAGCGGAUGAAGGGAGCUUGCUCCUGGAUUCAGCGGCGGACGGGUGAGUAAUGCCUAGGAAUCUGCCUGGUAGUGGGGGAUAACGUCCGGAAACGGGCGCUAAUACCGCAUACGUUCUGAGGGAGAAAGUGGGGGAUCUUCGGACCUCACGCUAUCAGAUGAGCCUAGGUCGGAUUAGCUAGUUGGUGGGGUAAAGGCCUACCAAGGCGACGAUCCGUAACUGGUCUGAGAGGAUGAUCAGUCACACUGGAACUGAGACACGGUCCAGACUCCUACGGGAGGCAGCAGUGGGGAAUAUUGGACAAAGGGCGAAAGCCUGAUCCAGCCAUGCCGCGUGUGUGAAGAAGGUCUUCGGAUUGUAAAGCACUUUAAGUUGGGAGGAAGGGCAGUAAGUUAAUACCUUGCUGUUUUGACGUUACCAACAGAAUAAGCACCGGCUAACUUCGUG